rnacentral:rRNA from 1 species
GAUGAACGCUGGCGGCGUGCCUAACACAUGCAAGUCGAACGGAGUCGUUUUGGAAAUCUCUUCGGAGAUGGAAUUCUCGACUUAGUGGCGGACGGGUGAGUAACGCGUGAGCAAUCUGCCUUUAAGAGGGGGAUAACAGUCGGAAACGGCUGCUAAUACCGCAUAAAGCAUUAAAUUCGCAUGUUUUUGAUGCCAAAGGAGCAAUCCGCUUUUAGAUGAGCUCGCGUCUGAUUAGCUAGUUGGCGGGGUAACGGCCCACAAAGGCGACGAUCAGUAGCCGGACUGAGAGGUGGAACGGCCACAGUGGGACUGAGACACGGCCCAGACUCCUACGGGAGGAAGCAGUGGGGAAUAUUGCGCAAUGGGGGAAACCCUGACGCAGCAACGCCGCGUGAUUGAAGAAGGCCUUCGGGUUGUAAAGAUCUUUAAUCAGGGACGAAACAAAUGACGGUACCUGAAGAAUAAGCUCCGGCUAACUACGUG